UCUCCCCUCACUUUUCUCUUUUCCUCCCGAUUCUCUCUCCUCCCACCCGAUUUUCUUCUCCCUCCGCCCGGAAACUUCACCACCGCCGUCCGCCGCCGUCCGGCCACCACCGACCGCCAGACUGGUCCCGUUCGGACCCUUGCCUCUUCCUCUCUCAUCCUGGACCGGUGCACGCGUGCGGAACGCCGCCGUGAAGGAGCAGUCAACCCCGAAAGGUUCGACUGCCGGAAAGGGUUUUUCGCCGGAGCUCCGUCUUCCGGCCACCAUAGGUCGUGAUUUUUGGCUCAACCUGUAGCCCUCAUCUAGGUGAGUAAUCCUUCAAAAGGUUUCGGCUAAAUUCGAUUUCGUUAGGGUGGUUUGUAUAAUUGAAAGUUUUAGGGAUUUAUGGAUGUUUUUAGUCGAUUGCCCUAGUUAGGCUUGGAAUUGGUGUUUGUGCUAGUUAUGAAAGUUGUAGAGCUUGAUGAGAGGAUUAUUCUGUCAAAAUUUCAUAGGUUUUGGAGGUCGCCGGAAUUGGCCUCCUGCCGCCGCUGCCGGCGGAGCUACCGGCGGCGCCGCCGCCGGUUAGGAAAUUUUUAGGGUUUUAAGUGUGGAAUAUUAAGAGGAGUUUAUUGAUGUGAUUUAUGGAAUUUUUGGAUGAGAUUUGGAUAGGUUUGUGAAUUUCCGAAGUUUGGAUUUUUGGCGGUUAAUUAAUGUAGAAUCCGACCGUAGGAUUUAAGUCGUAAUUUGGGGAGGUUGUAUUUACGACUGUUGAGUAUGAUAUUUAAGUUCGGAUCGUUCCGAUUUAAGAAUAUCGAAGUUAGGCAUUGAUGAGCGUAUUUAUGGCUCUCUGGUAAUUUUGCCUAUUUUGAUUAAAUAUUGGAUUAUUGGUUGGGAAAUUAAUAUUAUAUUUGGAACAGGACGUGAGGAGGCUCGAGCAGACGAGGCCCCAGAUCGACAUCAGGCUUAGGCCAAAUUUGUGAUUGGACGUUUAUUUUAAAUAAAUGCAUGCUAUGGUUCAUGGUUGAACAAUUAAUGUUGCGGAAUAUUUUAACGUCAUUUUAAUUUGACGAUUUUUAUUUCUCUUGGAGAGUUACCGAAAAUGGGAUUUUCGGUGGAUAUAAAUAUGUAUUUAUGAGAGAGUAUGUAUAUAAAUGCUAGCUAGCCAUAUGUGUCUGUCCACCUUAAUGGCGUAGCAUAUAGCCGCAUUAUGGUGUGACGUGAGCGUUGGACGUAAGCGUAGUAGCCCUAUUUGAGUGUUUAAUUCAUAUAGGGGGUAUGGACACAUAUUUAUACACCCGUCUGUCCACCUUGAUGGCGUAGUGUAGCACCGCAUUAAGGCGUGACGUGAGCGUUGGACGCGAGCGUAGUAGCCCUAUAUAGACCCAUGAAUUUAUAUAGGGAGUAUGGACGAGUGUAAAUACAUACAUAUAUUAUAGAGUCUGAGAGGCUCGAUAUUUUAUGGGAUAAAAUUUUUAUCGCUUGCGGUAUGCAUUCGAUUUUUCCUUAGAAAUUAAUUUGGGGAAACAUAAAUAUUUUAUUUAUUAUUUUAUUUUUGUCCACUCACUCUAACGUUAUUAAAUGUUUUCCCCUGGGCCCUUCGUUUUAAAUUGCCCAGUCUGCAGAGUUCGGGUUGGAUCUAGUAGGAGACGAGGCAUAGUCACCCGCAUUUCUGCCAGUUUUCGUCAGUAGGUUACCUGUUCAACCUACUCGUGUUUUCUUUCUUCCGCUUGUGUUUAGUAGCUCUGAAUACUUUGGGAUUAUUGUAUAUUAUGUGUAGAAUUUCUGAAGGAUGAUUAUGUGAUGUUCGGAAGUGUUGAAUUAAGAGUGUAAUAUGAAAUUUUUGAGUUAGGGUUGUCCAUCUGCAAGGGAGAUUUGCUUAAUCUUUUCAGUAAAUUUUCCUUGGAGGUGGUCCCCGCACGACUUACUCCGGGUUUUUGGGUGAAAUUUGGGGUGGGUCGUGUCACACAGGACAACAAAGUCAUGGUAAGGACAUAGCGGAGCUCAAGAAGCAAAUGGGUCAAGUAGUGGACUUCAUGGGAAGAAUAACUGAAUGUGGAAAGUUUCCACCCAACACCGUUCCGAAUCCCAACUUUGAAAGACUCUAAACAUUAAGCGCUGUUUGGGAGGACCUAAUUCAACACAGAUUUGCUUUCUUCUCUCUUCUUCUCUUUUAUUUAUGUUUUUGUGUGCUUUGUUUGUUUUUCGUGACUCUUUCUUCCCAUACUUUGAUUCUAUGCUUAAUCUUGUGUUACAUUAUGGACAAUGUUGGGUUUCAAUGUGGGGGAAGGAUUUACAUCUUUUUGUGUCUUUUAUUGAAAAAUAAAAUCAAAAAUCAAAAAAUUUGAAAAUCUAAAAAUAAUUUUUGUUUUCUGUUUUAGUCUUUUGUUUUGUUUUUGAGUCUUAGGAGCCCUUAACUGUACGUCUAUGAUGAGUGAUAAUCUCUGAAAUUAUGGAUAAGAUCACAAGAUGAUUUCUAACUAAUAUUCAGUUGUUAAUUGACAUGAAUAGAAAUCAUGUGAAAUGUAGUGGAUAUGAUUUGAAUCUUUGGUACAGAAAUGAGCAUGCUAAGACAAGUUUUUGAUUCAUAUGACCUUAAAUGUGAGCUUGUGAGCAUAUUUGUGUCAUUCUUUCUAAGUGAUAAUUGAAAUAUUCUGAUUCGUUUUCUUGGCUAUAAUUUUUCGAAAACCUCAUUAUUGUUUUAGUUUGAUUGAUUGCUCACCACAGCUUUUAAUGAAUUCUAGAUGACUAGAACUCACUCUUGUGGACUUUCGAAACUUUUAAUCAUAAAACGCUCUGAUUUUGAAAAGGAUAAAUGAAACUUUUUAGGAUGAUCACCAUUGCCAAACAAGCUUGUGCCCCUAUUUGUGUGUGUUGCACACCCCUUAGUUUAAACCUCUUUGAGCCUACGUUAAGUCUUUUCUUUCAUCACCAAUACAAUUUUUAUGUUGAUCUUAGUACAGUGAUAUCUCUACCCUUGUCCUUUCGGCUUAGUAGAGCAAUUGUGAUAUAUUGUAUGAAGUGAUGUUGUGAAACAAGUGUGGGGGAGUUGAAUGUCUGUGUAAAAGAAAAUGCCGUGAAAAGCAUAAAAGAAAACAAAAUUUCGGCAGAAAAAUAAAAAGAAAAAAAUGGACAUUGUCUUUGUGUUGUGAAAUGGGAGUUUUGGUUGUAAGUGGAAGGCCCAAAAACAGAAUAUUUGGCCUUUGUUCUUUUUCACAAUGUUUGAAGGUGUUUAGAAUGACGAAGGGCCCAACAAGAUGACAUUUGGCCCUUGCUUUGGCGACAUAAGGCAUGUUUGAAUGCUCUGCUAGGUCAUUAGGAAUUGUGCAAUUCCUUACUCUUCAAUUCAUAACCCUAGCCUAGCCAAAUUAAUACCUUUUAAAGUUCCUUUUGAUCUAAAAGAUGAGUAAACCUUGAUCUGUGGAGUUUGUUCCAAGAGUUGAGCCUAUGGUGUGGUUCAUUUGUGUGAGUAAUUGAUUCUUUCAUGAGGUUUAUAUCUGCUCUAUUGUGCUUUUGUUCAUAUAAAUGCAAGCUUUCUGAUUCUAUCUUGCAACUAUCGAGUGAUUUAGACAGAAAAUCUAAGUGAAAAAUGAGUGCAUAUCUUGUGAGAAUGAAUCAUACUUAUUUGAAACAUGCUGAGCUUAAAUAUCACCAUUAUUCUAUCAGGUCCUACAUGUAAAUAUGUGAUCUAUACAUGACAAUUAGCUUUUGAAACUUCAUGGAAUGAUUCUUGAUUAAGUGCUAAUUUUGAUGUCAUGAGAUUGGAGAUUCUGAGACAAUAUGUUAUGGGCAAUAGAGUUAAUUGUUUGUUGAGUCUUGUAGUUGUGUAGUUUCUGGUUUGUGUGUUUUGAGUCUUUUUGAUUGAUUUUGCCAAGAGACUAGCAAAAGCUAAGUGUGGGGGAAUUUGAUAGGUGCAUUUUAUGCAACGUUCUUAAUGUAUUUCUGACCCUAUUUAGCUAUAUAAUUCCUUUAACAAUAUUGAUUUUAACUUAGUUUGUGUUUUUAGGUUGCAAAUAAAGCCGAGGAGCACAAAAGAAACAUAUGAGGAGAAAUCUUGAAGGAAGAGGAAUCCAUAUGGCGCAAGGAAAGAAAUCAGAAAAUCUGUCAAGAAUAGUUAGUCAACUUCGACAGAGUAUUGUGAUCAGCUCACAAUGAUCCAGGAGAUAAACCUUAUAUCAACGGAAAGCUAGAAGAGUCUAGUUUCCAGAAAUUUUUGCGGAUCGUCAAUAGCUAUUUUGGAGAAGACGUUAUGACUGUUUGAGUGACCAAAGGUCAGUCUGCCCGAAUUUCUGAUUUGGACCGAAACUUCAAUUUCAAGGCCCUGACCACAACGGCGAGCCCAUGGACGAAAAUUAAAGGUUCUCUAACCCUAAUAGCAGCUGUUCAUAUGUUCUCUAUAUGUAUGAGGAGAUGUGAAAAAGGGGUCGCUCUUUGCCACAGAAAAACAACGUCUUUCAUCUCCUUCAGAAAUUCUUCUCGAAACACAAACCCUAAUUUUAGGACUUCUCUUGACGUGCCAUCUCCUUUGUAAUCCUCGGUGUAGUUCCUUGUUUCAAUACAAAGUGUAAUCUAAACUCAGACCUCAUGUUUUCUUUUACUAUCUAUUCAAUUACUUUAGUUUGUUUUCAUCUCUCUUAUUCGUUUGUGUUCAUGAGUUGGAUUUUUGAUUGAGUUUGUUCUUAUAAUCAUGAAAAUCAGAUCUGUACACUUGAGUUGUUUGUGUAAUUGAUGAUGCUUUUGAUGAUCUAAAUUGUGUUUAUGUGUGAUUGACAACUUAUGACUUGUUAUUAAUCAAUAUGUGCCAUUGUUUGUGUUAAGUCCGCGUCGGUAAACAUGAACUAGAAUGGUAAGGAGUUAUAGGUUGCAUGCUAGGAUGUUUUUGAAGUCCGCGUCGGUGAAUUACAUUCUAACAAGUUCAAGUUCUUCCUCUGAUCUAUUUUAGAUAUGAAGUCCGCGUCGGUACAUAUCUAUGAGAAGUUAGAAGGAUUUUAAGUAGUUAAGUCCCCGUCAGUAAAUUACUUGAAAUAUGGAAUUUGAUUCGUUUCUCCAUAUGCAUGAUUUAGGUUGUUAGGGUUGAAAUUGCAUAGCUACUUGAUUAUAUGAAUCUGAUUUAGUGUUUUCUUUUAUAUAGUAGCUUAGGUUUUUGUUUCUUUAUAGUUUAGGAUUUUCGUCACUCUUCUGUCCCCUGUUUUAUUUUAUUUUAUUUUCAUAUCAAACGAUCUCCGAUCCCCUUGAAAAUUUCUACAGUUGUUCCUCUGUGUGUCUAAUAUAUCUCUGUAAAUUUUCGUAUUUUUCUGAGUAGUUUGGGUUAGGUUUUUAAUUAGGUUUUCAACUACUAUUCAUUAGAAACAGUAGCUACUUUUGUAAAUUGUUUAAAGAUUUUAUUACUUGUUAAUAUUAGUCAUGUUUUACUAACGUUUUGUUUUGCAAGGUACCCUCAAUCCCCGGCCCUAUACGAUACCCUUAUUUACCUUAUGCUACUGACGAUAAAAAGGGUUUAUUUGAUGCAGGUUUUGCACCCGUCACCCGAGAUGGCUCACAAAGUCAGGUAUGAAUUUGUGGAUUUGCAGUAGUUUGUGAGUUGAUCCAUUGUGACUCUUAGAUCAAUGUUUACAGUAUCGUCCUUUUUUGGAUGGAUUACAUUGGAAUUUAGUUGUGGGAAAGUUCGAUUACACUAGUUUGUCAGCUACCGACAUUAUGUUUCUGGUAGGAACCUAUAUAUGGAAGAGAUACUCCGCCAAAAAAAGGCACCAAAUAUUCCGACAAGCGCAUAUUGGCCCCUUUAGAGUCAAUGCCGAUAGAGAAGAGACUGACAAGAGACUUGUCCUCUUUGUUUAUGACAUAGAGACGGACUUGCAACUGAGCGAAACCAUCGUUGAUAGUGCUAGUGGCUGCAUCUUUACCACAUGUGAGGACACUCCGACCGGAAAGGUUCGUCAAUGACAACAUUAUAACAUUGUUUGCUGACUAUCUAUGGCAAGACCUAGAGGAGGCAAUAGUGUUUACUUUACAGCCUAUUUCUGUCGGAAGACGAUGCAGUGCAGUAAAGAGUUAUCUUCAAGACAUGUUGUCAAUGGUGUAAGUUUGAAGGAGUUAGGUGUGAGAAGAUUUUACAAUGACAUUCCUACAUGCAAAAAGGUAUGUCACGACAUAAAACAUUGGUACCUGUUGGUGGUGCGUCUUGAUGUCCAAAUAGCUGAAAUGUGGGAUAGCUUGGGAUGUAGCAGGAGACGGAAGAAUCAGUGCAAAACCGUUGUCAAUUGUUCAUGUUUUAUUCUAAACAAAACAAAAUGACUCUUAAGCCUUGUAUUCAGUUUAUGUUAUUGGGAUCGUGCCUAAUGUUUAAUGACUGUAGCUCCAAGGACUUGACAUGAUUUACAGAAGUGUGAAAUUCACUACGAAACCCUUCGGGCCGGAGGCAAAAAAGUUUGCAGACUUCACCCUCGAUGAGCCAGCUCAUUCCCCAAAACAGGAGGGUGGAGCUGAUUGUGGGAUUUUUACAAUCAAACACAUGCAGAACUAUGGAUCAGAGUGGUGGCAUAAGGUAACCAAAAUGUCUCUUUCAGUCUUACACUUAAAUUGUAUGGCAGGAUGGUACUUGAAUCUAAAAUGGACUUUCUAAAACAAUGUAGUUUGAUUCGCACACUAUUCGCAUGGAAUUAACCAUUGACUUGGUGAGGAGCAAAUUCAACAAGUGCUAGAAAUGGAUCAAGAAAACCAUCAACGCUCCCUAAUGUAAGUGGAUCGUAGGUCAUUUUUAGGCUUUUUAAUCCCUAAUGUAGAUCAGUACUGAUAGUUUUGUAGAUCAUGUGGGUUAUCAAGUUAACGCUUGACUGAACCAAGAACAAUGAUAUUGAUAUGGUGUUACAUGUUUCACGUAUUUUACGUACUGAUAUUGAUGUUACCUGUUUCACGUAUUUUACGUACUAAUAUUGGUGUUACCAGUAUAAUCACUUGUCAUGUAUAUUGGUGUACAUAUGAUACUGCACAAAAGUAAGAAAAAACAUCCAAGCAAUAAACUGGCCUGCACAACCCACUGCUGAACUUAGAUUACACUUUAUUAUGCCAACCACGAUAAUGACUCAGUCUCAUCUAAAUAGAGUAGUUACAUCCAUAGAGCACUUGCUUAGUGAAAAUCAUCAAUAUCUAGAGAGAAUUCAGGGUCUAAAGGCCACCACCAAUAGCCUGCUGGAGGGGAAUUGGAAUUCCUGUCUUCAAAGUGAUGCAUUUCAUGUUCCCAGUAGCACAAUCCACAACUGCAUCUCUUUACGUUGUUUGGUCCAACGUUGUACAAGUGUGCGAAAGUGCCGCAUGGUCUUUUAGUAACAUCGGCUAUAUGUGUGCAAAAUCCUUCUAUCGUAGCAGAACACUGAUGAGUUUGCAUGGGGUUGACUUCCUUCUCCAGAACAACUUGAUGCUCCACAUCUGGUUUGGGGCUUAGUUGGUGUUGGCUUGCUUCUUCGACAUCCACCAUAGCAUUUUUCAGAACAGCUUCAUGCUCCACAUAUGAUUCUUUUAGCAGGUUAGACAUCUUUCAACGAAAAGGUUGUGGUCACUGAAGCACUCUUAUAUACAAACGUAUUAGGUGGGAAUUGUGAUUUCAAAUUGGUUGAAAUUGAUAUCAAAUUUCAAAAGUAACCGCCAUCCACCAAACUGAAAAUUCUAACUUGUCCCAAACCAAAUUUUUCAAGUGCCGCCAUCCACCUCAAAUUUUACGGAUCACCAGCGUGUCUUCUGUCUCAGCCGUCAAUCCUAAACCCUACUUUUCAUCUGCAUCGCACAAGGUUGAGGAACCAUAAACAAUGCCCAUUGGCCCAAACCCGGAACCCUAACUUAAUGGGUUUAGAUCAACGGAGAUGGGAUAUUUCAAGGACGGGACCUUCCUUAUUUUACCUCAAAUGUAAUUCUUGGAAAUCUUCCAACGUAAGCACCUUCUAAGUAAAGAUAUUGUUUCCAAGUGUGACUCUUCAAUCUUAUACGUGCAUAUCACCAUAUCUCAUGUAAUCAUCAUCAGAUGCCAAUAGUAAGGAAUGUAAUCUCAGUUAUAUACUUCAAAGCAAUUAGGACCUCUUUGCAUGAUAUCCUUCCUUGAUCACGUCUUCUUAACUAGCAUGAAACACGUCCAUAUUGCCUUUUCCAUGAAAGAUCUUCCAUGCUGCUCAAUAUCGGUAACCAAACAAUCAUCCAUAAUAUUUCAAGGGGUGAGGUUGAGUCUACGUAGUCAUGAUUUGCCUAUACAAUUGCUCAUGAUUUAGGUAGACCUAUGUCAUACAACAAGUGGACUUAUUUUACAAUUUUUACAAUUUAUUUUCCUUAUUUUUUGGAAUUGGUAAGGUCAUGAUUUGCCUAUACAUUGCUCAUGAUUUAGGUAGACCUAUGUCAUCCAACAAGUGGACUUACCAAUUACCCAAGACGGCUGAUCAAACCCCAAGAUGUCUGAUCAAAGCCCAAGACGUCUUAUCGGUUAAAUCGAGUUGGUCACCGCAUUAUUAUUACCGCUUCGUAAACAAGCUUGACUAUUCGAAUGGGUAAGACUUAAUGCAACCUUGCCUUUUCACUUGCCUUAUAAUGUCACAUCUCGACCCUUAAAUUUUUUUACCUUAUUUACUAGCUUAGUAUUAAUAAGAAUUUUACCGUCUCCAUCAAUAAGUUAUGGUUUAAUUGGUCCCUAGAGGGGUUUUGAGGGACGAUUAUUUCGGAGAAUUAUUCGUAGGAGAAAAAUUUGACGACGGUAAAAAUGGUAAAUUUUAGCUAGUAAAAUGUAAUUUUUAUUAGGGUAUUAUUUUUUCGGGGUAUUUUAUUUUGGAGUGGGUUGGUAUAAGGGUGUUGGACCGGGUUGGUGUGAGGCCCAAACACCAUUUCUCCUCUCUCUCUCUUCUCCUCUCCCUCCUGACUUCUCUCCCGACCCGGAAACUUUCCGGCCGCCGUUUGCUGCAGCCCGCCGCACUGGUCUCGUUCGGUCGGCUUUUAACCCAGCUAUCUCCCUGGACCGGUGGCAGCUCCUCUAGCGCCGCUGUGAGGGAGUUCUCUCCCCCGAAAGCCCUGGCUGCCGUGAUGGUUUCCACGCCGGAGCUCCCUCCUUCGGCCACCAUAGCAGGAGCUGCUUGAGUCUUUUGGAAGCUCUCCUCCCGUGCAUCAAUCCCUCCAAAGGGCUCAACCUCUCUUGGUCUAGAUAAGGAGAACCGAUGAGUGGAAGUUCUGGGGCUUUUUGUGAUGUUUUUGUUCGAUUGACCUAGUUAGGCUUGGAAUUGGUGUUUGUGCUAGUUAGGAAAGUUGUAGAGGGGGCUGAGAGGAAGCUGUUGUUGAAUUUUGGUAGGCAUUGGAGGUCGCCGGAGUCGGCCUCCUGUCGCCGCUACCGGUGGAGCGAGCGGCGGCACCGCCACUGUUAAGGGGGUUUUCAUGGUUUUAAGUGUGUUAUAUUAAGGGGAGUUUAUUAGUAUGAAUUAUGGAAUUUUUGGAUGAGUUUUGGAUAGGUUUGUGAAUUUCCGAAGUUUGGUAAUUUUGGCGGAUUAAUAAGGUAGAAUCCGGCCGUUGGAUUAAAGUCGUAUAAUCUGUGGAAGGGUGUAGUUUAGGCUGCUGGUUUUAGUGUGGAGGUGUGGACCGAAUCGAAGUUAGGCAAUGAUGAGCGAGUAUGGGUCUCGGUUAAUUUUGCCUAUUUUGUUUAAAUAUUGGAUUUUUAGUUGGGAAAUUAAUUAUAUAUUUGUACCAGGGUUCGAGGAAACCUCACUGGAGUGGCGAUUUGGAUUUCGUCGGGCUUAUGCCUAGAGUUGUGAGAGGACCUUUGUUUUAAUUGAAAAGCAUGCGAUGAAGUAUUUUGUUGAUCAUUUAUUUCUUCUGAUGAGACUUAUUGAUUUCUCGGUUAUUUGGCAAUUUUUCCUCCUUUGGAGAGUUUCCCGAAAAUGAGAUUUUCGGUGGAUAUGUAUUUUGGAUGUUUAUGAGUAUAGCAUGUAUAUAAAUACUAGCUAGCCAUACGUGCUUGGUCCGUCAUAAUGAGGUAAAAUACCAUUAUGGCGUGACGUGAGUGUUAGACACAAGCGUCAUAAGCCUAUAUGAAAACUACUUUCUUUUCUGGUUUAUUCACGUUUUCAUAUACGGAGUCCACACGUAUAUAUACACCGUCCUCUUCGGUCAUAAUGAGGAAAAAUUCCAUUAUGGCGCGACGUGAGCGUUAGACCCAAGCGUCGUAGUCUUGUAUGAAUUUCUAUUUUUCUAAUUUGUUCAUAAAAUUCAUAUAAGGAGUCUGACGAGUGUAAAUACAUACACAUAUAUGUUUAUAUAUAGUUUAGCCUAAGAGGCUCCAUUUUAUUUGAGUUGGUGACUAGCCGGAGCUAGUCGUGAAAUUGCCAGUUUAUGAGUUGAGCGCUUUUGAGCGAUCGCAUGCAGUAUAAUUUCUUUGGAAAUUAAAAUGGGAAUGCAUAAAUAUUUUUAUUAAUUUAUUUUUGUCCACUCACUCGAACGUGUUUCAAAUGUUUUCCCCUAGGCUCUUCGUUUUAAAAAUGCCCAGUUUGCAGGAUUGAAUAGUUGAGGUCGGGCGUACAUAGAGAAGAGGUAUAGUCAAUAGUAUAGCUUCCGCUCAUUAUAUUUUUUUAGUUCAUCUCCUUUCAAAUAGAAUUGCUCUGAACUGUGGUUGUUGGUUAUGAGAUUAAAUUGUUAGAGUUAGUAAUUAAAUUGGGAGAUGUUGUGAUUUGGGGAGCACGAAGGCUCCAGGAGUAGAGGGUUGUAGAAGGAUUCUUUUGAAGUGUGUGCAGGUAUUUCUAGGAAGGGUCGUCCAUCUUCAAGAGAGGUUAUGUCGAUUUUUCGGUAAAUUUUCCUUGGAGGUGGUCCGCGUAGGAUUUACUUCGGGUUUCAGGGUGAAAUUCGGGGUGGGUCUUGACAUAUAACCUCCUUUGAGUGAAACUUUUCCACCAAACCGCUAUCACCCAGUUUCCAGCAAACCAGAUAGUACCUUUCAAGCCAAACUUGUCAAUGGCAAACACAGCUCCUUCUCUUCCUCUGUUCGUAGCCAAGGUAACAAAGCAGGGGUCAAUGUAACUGAAUUGGUACGAGUGCUCAUUAUCUCCGGUUGCAUUUUUUAAUUUUUUUACUAAACCAUCUACCAAUCAUAAUCAUUUGUUUGACGUUGCAGGAGAUACCCUGGUCAUUUUCCGACAAAUACAUGGUCGGUGAUGUCGAAAAAAAAGGUCUUAUCUACUUAGACGGUUAUCCGAAAGACUGGCCAUUUUCUGUGAAACGGGGUCAUGAGUGGGUUGAGUUGCGCAAGGGAUGGGGUGUAUUUGUGAACGAGGUUAUACAGAACAAUUCUGAGGCCUACCUUGUGGUGGAUUACAUGGGAGACAUGCAAUUCAAGGUUAGGGCAUUUUACUCGGAUGGAAACAUUGUCAUUGACGUUCCCCUUUGCUUGAGCCGUCUACCUGAGCAUGCCUUUGGAUUUUACAGAGUACCGAUUUUACAUAGGACCCCGUCCUGAAUUCUGUAGGGGUGCCACCCAUGCUUCUGAGCGCCCAAUGGUAACUUUCUUCAACUUUCACUAUUGCAUUGAAGUUCCAUUGUGGUUUGUCUUGAGAGUGUUCUUAUUAUUUUAUGCAUGUUAUUAUUAACAGAUCAAUGCUCACGGACCAUUCCACAAACAACUUCUUGAUGUCGGAAUGGGUCUGUUUGAGUUUCACCUAAAGGUGACGCCGACGAUUAAAACGGUCGUGCAGUUUACUCACACAAACAGAAACUAUAUUGAGUUCGGCACCGGGUGGAACACCUUUUUGGCGUUGUACGGGAUCCAAAGUGAAGAUUUCACUAUGCCAGAUAAUGCAUCACACGAUAGGGAAAAAGCAUCGUGUGUUAAAGGUCAAAUCCGUUGUUAAUCUGAUCGUUGUCUGAUCAACAUGUCAUACAACGGCUCUGACUAACUGACACACAACGCUACAAUAAAAACCAUUGUGUGAUUCUCGACAGAUAUCAUCGACAUAUGUUGAUGAAUUAUGUCGAGAAUCACACAAUAGUUUUUGUAGAAUAUUGUUGUGUGAUUCUCAGUAGAUAUUAUCGACAGAUGCCGACACAUGCCGAGCUACUUCUCGUCAGCUGUCGAUGAUAUAUGUCGAGAAUCACACAACAGGUUUUCCAAUAAAAACCCUUGUGUGAUUGUCAAGUCACACAACGGUUUCCUUUCAAGAGUUGUUGUGUGAAUAUCAAUAAAUUUCAUCGGCAUACGUCGAGAUCAUUCGGCAUUGUAGUCGGCAACAUUUGUCCACACUCACACAAUAGUUUUCUUGCUGUAAACUAUUGUGUGAAGUUAUCUUCAUACAACGAGUUUUAAGGUUUCAUGGUUGUCUGAUUGUUAAAUAGUACACAGAGUUUUUGCUAGUAGGUAUUGUGUGAUCAAUACUCACAUAACGUAUCAAUGUUAGAAUAUAGUUGUCGGAUCAUUUAGUCAGACAACAUUGGAUUGUCAUUAACUUGUUGUAUGAUGUUGCAUUUCAUACAACGUUGGAUUAUCAUCAUUUAGUUGUAUGAUGUGCUCCAUUGAUGCCCUAAUACCAAAUUUACCUAAUGAACAAUAUUACAAGUGAUAUUUCCAAACCAUCCAAAGCAUUGUUAACAUUCAAACAACCAAAAUAUGAUAUAAAGAAUCCAAUGCAUUGUUAACAUUAACAUGACAUGUAAAACAUAUGCCCAUCAUCCUAACAACCAUUAAAAAUAAGAAAAGCAUUCAAAUACAUGCCCAUCAACUAGGGACAUCAAAAGCUAGCUGAUACCUAGUAUCAAUUGUACUAAAAACAUGCCACAUAUCAUGCAUGAAUAUUGUACCAGCUGAGAAGCACAAAAAAGAUGUUUUCUCUGAACAAGAAGAUAAUACGUCAAUCACGGCUUACUUCACAUACUUCUUGACAGCAAAGUCUGCCCACUCAUUUCUCACCUCAUCCAAAUCUUCCUGAGUGUAUUUGCAGCUGCCUCUCUUGUCCCACUAAAUUAAACAAAGAACAAAAAUUAGAUAUAUAUAUAUAUAUAUAUCCAAUCAAGCCCCUAGAGGCAUAAGCUGUAUAUCUGCUAUCUCAAUCUAGAUAUACAUAUAAACCAGACACAACACUUGGUUUUUCAGUUAUCAUUGUAACUUAACACUGCUAUAUAUAUAUAUAUAUAUAUAUAUAUGAUAAACAUAAUAAACAUAUUAAUAAGAUCUGUUAGUUAAUCUGAGAUUGAUGAAGAUUCAAUGAACCAGACACUAAGAUCCAAAAAGGAACCAUUCCCACUUAUUCAACAAAACACCAAAAAUGAUAGAUCAAAACAAUAAGUUUACAACAUAAAUUCCAUUAGGCAACAAAUUAAUAAGAUCUGUUAGUUAAUCUGUGUAUCCAUACCAGCUAGCUGUCACCCUUUUAGGAAAAAUUAAAAUUAAUACCCGCAGUAAUGAUUGACUGACUUUGCUAACAAAGAUCAGAUCUCAGUCCUAUAAUGGAGAUAUCACUUCAAGUCAAAUACCAAUUCUAAUCAUUUCAUCAAGUCAGGGCACCAGAAUUAGCAGUAUAAUCUUCUGUUUAGUCUGUCUAUUUUGUAGUAUUUGAAUCAUUAAGUUGGUGGGAAAAAAUAAAACUAUUCUAGUCUCUGAUAUAUAGUACUGCUCCAUGGAACUCCAAAUAUAUAAUAAACAUAUUAUUAAUACUUAAGCUCUAUUGAAUGACUCUCCAAAAACAGAUUUUAUAUCUUGGCAACAAACCGUGACGUGUUUUUGUCUUCGAUUAUUUCCCUCAUGUAUCGCAUGACAUAGUAUCCACAUUCCUUGUCGCUUGGUUGGAAAGGCAUGCCCUAAAAACAAACCAUUACAAAACAAUUCCACACAACUAAGAUACACUGAGACAUCUACUACUUAAAAUGCAGAUGACACUCACAGCCAAAUUUUUAGGGAUCAUUGAGCUUCGUCCAUUCCUCUUUCUUGCAGUGUUAGCCAUAGCCAUUGCACUAAAGAAGACAAAAAAAAUAAAUGGAUGUAAGGGAGACUGUCACACCCCGGUUCUUAAGUUAUUUUUAUGGUUAUUUACUUUUGGUAUUACUUUGGUCUUUUACCGUUUUAAGAAACCGUUUAUUAUUUAAGACUCCAAAAGUUGACUUUUUCUUUCAUUUGGAAUUUGGGAAAACUUUCUUCAAGAAAGUCGUAGAGGACAUUAAUAUGAAUUCGUAGACAUGCUAUACGUUACAAUCGGAGUUAGCGUGAAAAAGUUAUCAAAUAAAAGGGUAAAUUUUGAGUUGGUAAAAAGGGGGGUAAAAAUUUAGUGGGUUUUAUUUUUUUGGUGGGUGUUUAAAUUGGACCGGGUAGGUGUGGAGAAGCCCAACACCCACCCACACUCUCUUUCUCUCUCUCUCCCUCUUUCUUCUCUCUCUCUCUCGUGAGAUCUUGGUAGGGAGAAAUGUAUAAUUGAAGUUCUAGGGUUCAAUUUAAGGUUUUGAUUUGAUUACCCUAGUUAGGCUUAGAAUUGAACUAAGUGCUAGUUAUGGAAGUUGUUGUGCGUAUUGAGAGGAUUGUUGUGUUAAAAUUUGGGAAGCAUUGGAGGUCGCCGGAGUACGGUUGCCGGCUGAGCAGGCGGCGGCGCCGCCCCUUAAAGGCAGUUUUUCAUGUUUUUGAGAUGGUUUUAAUGAAAGGGGUUUAAUGAAGUAAAGUUUGGAAAUUUUGGAGGAGUUUUGAUAAGGUUUGGGAUUUUCCAAUGAUUAAUGAUUUUGGCGGUGAUUAGAAUGAAAAUCUGUCCGUUGGAUUUCCUUGGUAUUUAUUCUAGAAUGUUAAAAUUGAUGAAUUGAGGUUUUGGUGGAGUUUGGCGUGAAUCCGACAAGCUUAACCCUAGUAAGAGUGGUGGAUUAAGUGGAAGAGAUUUGAGGGUUUAUAUUCAAGUAUUUAUUUUCCGGAAUUGAAGUUUGGUCCUAAGCAUAUUUAUUGUGCCAGGAUAUGAAGGGAACCUCGCUUGAGUGGUGAUGCGGAUAUCGUCGGGCUUAUGCCUAAAUCUGUGAGUGGACAUUUUGGUUUUAAAUAAAUAUGCAUGCAAGAUUUUUAUAAUUUAUUAUUUUAUUUUCCGAGCGUAUAUUAUAAUUUCGACUUAUGAAAUGAUCUUGGAAUUUAUUUGAGUUUGAUGCAUUGAUUAAGUGUUGGUCAUGAUUUAUGGAUUUGAGCUCGGAUUAUUAUUUUGAUAUUUGAGUUUGGAUAUUCUUUAUAAAUUCCGGAUUUUAUUAUAAUGAUUGUUUAAAUGGUAGACUUUGAGAUUUAUAAAAGAUUUCCGAAAAUAGGAUUUUCGGUAAUUCUCUUUUUAUAACUAUCUCAUUUAUUUGUGGAUUAUCAAUCUUGGCAUUGAGAAUCUUUUAGCGAGUAUUUUCGGAGGGAGGAAUUAUUUACAAUUUAUACUUGUUAAUUAAACUCGCUUAUAUUAUGGAUUUGAGAAUAUUUUGACGUGUGAGACACGUCAUUGAGUUUAUUUUAAUUUCUUAUGAUAAUUUCCAAGAACGGUUGGGAACCGUACCAUUCGUAUGAUCUUGAGGCAGUUUAAUGGAUUUAAAUGAUUUCGUAUGUUUUUAGUCACCAUAAUAUAGGGUUGCUUAUAUUGAUUAUUGCUAGCUAACCAUUAUUAGCGGUCCUCAUCAUAUGUGAGUUGAGCGCUUAGCGUGGGACGUUAUUAUAGCCUGAGAGGCAUCGACCCGAGACGUAGAGGCUCCUUUUACAUGGUGAUAAAUCUUCCCCUUAUUUUAUUCGUCUCAGUUAUGAAAUUAAUUGAUUAACCAGCGGGGCUGGUUUGUCUCUGCUUUCGAUAUUUUUGUAUAUGAUUUAUCAAAGUUUGCGUGCAGCUAAGUUUUUAAAGUUGUAAUUUGGGAAAGUAUUCAAAUUGCGUAUUUGUUAAAUUAUUUUGUCAACUCACUCUAACGUUUUUAAAUUACUUUCCCCUGGGCCCUUUGGUUUUAAAUGCCUGGUUUGCAGGCUAGGUAUUUGAGGUCGAGCGUACAUGGAUUCGAGGCAUAGUCAGAGGCUGCUUCCGUUUAAUCUUUAUUCAUUAUUAUUCUUUCAUUAUUAGAUAUGCUCUGGUAACCAGUUAGUGAAUUAUUUGUCUAUUGUUGGUUGUGGGAUUAUUUUAAAUGAGUAAUUGUUAUAUUGGGAGGUGAGAUGAACAUGGGGAGCAGGAAGGCUCCAGGUGUUGAGGCUGGUAUGUUUGGUUAUAGAAGUGUAAGUUGGAUUUUUUAGGUAAGGGUUGUCUAUUUUCAAGGAAGACUAUGUCGAAUUUUUGGUAAAUUCUUCUUGAAGGUGAACCCCGCAGGAUUUACCUUGGGUUUCAGGAUGAAAUUCGGGGUGGGUCCUGACAGUUGGUAUAUACAAGACAUCCCACUUCUUAUUACCUCAAUUUGCACAAUGAACAGUGGAACUUACUCUUUUACAAUCUUCGCCCAAUCUCCACAUGGUAUACGUCUUCUCGCAGGAUCCAUGAAGUAGACAGUGUCAUUAUCCGGAUCAACAACAGUCAACUCCAGUGAUCGCUACCACAUAAAAAAAUUUCAUAUACAAUAUUUAGCAAACAAUACCCGAGUACCAUUCCCACAGUUCAACCAUAAUUACUAAAACCAUUUAUUUAUACCAAAACUUGAAAACCAGCAUGGACUUACCCCGAGUUAUAUGGCAACAUGAACACUUGACCCGGUUUGGCAAUUGCAAGCCUUUUAGCUAUAUUUUUGGUCCUCUGAGUUCCAGUCCCAUACCCUACUGCACCAAUUUGGGAAGGGUGAACAAACACUACCAUGUCCACCAUUCUAUAAGCUUCCAACUUGCUGUAUAGGUACCUAACAACCAUACCAACACAUUAUCUUUCAGCAAAGCCUACUUAUCAAGAGAAUUACAAUAAAAUCACAAGCAAAAUAUGAUAUUGCAUAAUUUAUACCUCUGGUAAGAAGCAAUCAAGUUUCCAGUGACUUUUCCCAUGGUUGCAAUAACCACAACAUCCUUUUCGGUAAUAUAGCUGCUGCAAAUAUAUCCAAAUACUUCAGGUUCAAUGUUGGAACUGAGUUCUCGACCAUCCUUGAAUACGGUACAUAGUGUCUCAUAUGAUCUAGAUAACAUAGGUGCAAGUUGUCACAUCCCGACCCUUAAAUUUUUACCUUAUUUACUACCUUGGAAUUAAUAAGAAUUUUACCGUCUCCGUCAAUGAGUUAUGGUUUAAUUGGUCCCUAGAGGGGUUUUGGGGGACGUUUAUUUCGGAGGAAUUAUUCGUAAGAGAAAAGUGUGACGACGAUAAAAAUGGUAAAUUUUAGCUAGUAAAAGGUAAUUUUUAUUGGGGUAUUAUUUCGUGGUGUUUUUUUUGGAGUUGGGUUUAUUGUUUAGUGUGGGUAUUAAAUGUUGGACCGGUUUGGGGAGGCCCAAACCAUUUCUCUUUUCUCUUUUCUCUUCCUUCUCUUCUUUCCCGACUCUCCCUCUUCCUCUCGCACUGCUGGAAACCCCCGAGCUCCCAUCGCCGUCGUCCGGCCAAGAGGAGACGCCACACCGGUCCAGCUCAAUCUGUCUCCCUCACCACCGUCUUCCUAGGCUGGUGAGCGGCGCUGCAACGCCACCGAGCGGAGGAAGUCCUCCUUGGAAGCUCGGUGGUCUUCUCGCCGAAACUCUCUCCUCCGACCGCCAUAGCCAGCGAUUCUUGGCUCGUUUGGAAGCUCUCCUCCCAUGCAUCAAUCCCUCCAAAGGCUUCCCUCCCCCUUGGUAGGUAAGGAGAUUUUGGUGUUGGAAAUACUGGGGCUCAUUUGAUGUUUUUGUUCGAUUACCCUAUCUAGGCUUGGAAUUUGUGUUUGUGCUAGUUAGGAAAGUUGUAGAGGGGGUUGAGAGGAAGAUGCUGUUAAAUUUUGGUAGACAUUGGGGUUCCCGGAGUCGGCCGCCGGCCGCCACUGUUAGGGGGAUUUUCAUGGUUUCAAAUGUAUAAUAUUAAGGGGAGUUUAAUGACGUGAAGUGUUGAAUUUUUGGAGGAGUUUUGGAUAGGUUUGGGAUUUUUGAUAGAUUGGUGAAUUUAGCGGUUAAUGGGGUAAAAUCUGACCGUUGGAUUUUCUUUAUUAUUGUUUCAGAAUGUUGAAAUAAAGGAAAUAAGGCUGUGGUUGGAUUUUAACGUGAAUCUGAUAAGCUUAACCCUAGAAAAGGUAGUGGGUUAGGCGGAAGAGUUUUGGGUUAUAUAUUGAAGUAUUAUUUAUUCUGAAAUUGAAGUGUGGUCCUAAGCAUGGUUUUUGUGCCAGGAUUUGAGGAGAACUCACUUGAGUGGUGAUUUGGAUUUCGUCAGGCUUAUGCCUAGAGUUGUGAGUGGACUUUUGUUUUAAAUAAUGUGCAUGCAAAUGGUUUAUUGAUGAAUAAUUUCUUGUGUUGGAGAAUAACCGAAAUUGACAAUUUCGGUGAUUAUAUAUUCAUAUAUGGAUGAUUAUGAGGAUAGUAUGUAUAUAAAUAAAUCCUAGCUAGCUAUACGUGCUUUUCCGCCAUAUGAGGAAAAAUUCAAUGAUGGUGUGACGUGAGCGUUGGACGCAAUCGUUAUAGCCCUAUAUAAAUUUAGUAAUUUAUAUAGGGAACACGUAUAUAUACACUCAUGCUUUUCCGCCAUAAUGAGGUAAAAUUCCAUUAUGGUGUGACGUGAGCAUUAGACGCAAGCGUAGUAGCCUUGUAUGAAUUUCUAUUUUUCUUAUUCUUCAUAAGAAAUCAUACAAGGAGUAUGACGAGUUUAAAUACAUACAUAUAUAUAUAUGUAGUUUAGGCUGAGAGGCUGUAUUUUAUUGAGUUUUGGAGACUAGCCGGAGCUAGUUAUGUAAUUGUCAAUUGAUGAGUUGAGAGCUUUUGAGUUGUCGCAUACAGUAUAUUUUCUAUGGAAAUUUAAAUUGGAAAAGCAUAAGUAUUUUUCAUUAAAUUGAUUUUUGUCCACUCACUCUAACAUUUUCAAAUGUUUUCCCCUGGGCCCUUCGCUUUUAAAAUGCCCAGUAUGCAGGUUAGGAUAGUUGAGGUCGGGCGUACAAGGAGAAGAGGCAUAGUCAAUAGUAUAGCUUCCGCUCAUUUUUAUAUUUCUAGUUCUUUUCCUCUCAAAUAGAGUUGCUUUGAACUAUGGUUGUUGAUUAUGAGAUUUUCUUUUUAAAGUUAGUAAAUAAAUUGGGAGAUGUUGUGAUUUGGGGAGCAUGAAGGCUCUAGGAGUUAGAGUUCAAUUGCGAGUUGGGAACUCCAUGUCACAUCCCGACCCGUAAAUUUUUACCUUAUUUACUAGCUUGGUUAUAAUAAGAAUUUUAUCGUCUGCGUCAUUGAGGUUAUAGUUUAAAUGGUCCCUAAAUGGUUUGGGGGACGGGUAUUUUCGGAGGAUUGUAAAUUUUAGCUAGUAAAAGGUAAUUUUUAUUAGGAUAUUAUUUUUUUGGGGUGUUUUAUUUUGGAGUUGGUGUGGGUAUAUAGGUGUUGGACCAGUUUGGAGAGGCCCAAACCCAUCUCCCUCUCUUUCUUUUCUCUUUCUCUCUCCCAGUUUUCCUCCCGAGCCAUCACCCUGCCGGAACUUCAACCCGACCAUUCGCCGCCGUCCGGCCACCACCUGCCGCCGCACCGGUCCCGUUCGGUCGGCCUCCAACCCGGCCAGCUUCUAUUCUAGGCCGGUGAGAGCCUCCCUAGCUCCGCCGUGAAGGAGUUCUCACCCCCAAAAGGUCCGGUUGUCGUGGUGGUUUUCUCGCCGGAACUUCCUCCUUCGGCCGCCAAAGUCGGCGAUCCUUGGCUCAAAAGAAAACUCCCCUCCCGUGCAGCAACCCCUCCAAAGGGCUCACUCUCUCUUAAGCUAGGUAAGGAGAAAUGUGGAUUUGAAUUUUCUAGGGCUUCUAGGAUGUUUUUGCUCGAUUGACCUAGUUAGGCUUGGAAUUGGUGUUUGUGCUAGUUAGGAAUUUUGUAGAGGGAGUUGAGACAAAGAUGCUGUCAAAAAUUGAUAGGCAUUGGAGGUCGCUGGAGUCGGCCUCCGGCCGCUGCUGUGAGGGAGAUUUUUAUGGUUUUAAAUGUGGAAUAUUUAGGGGAGUUUAUUGUUUUGAAUUAUGGAAUUUUUGGAUGAGUUUUGGAUAGGUUUGGGAAUUUCCGAAGUUUGGUAAUUUUGGCUGAUUAAUAAGGUAGAAUCCUGCCGUUUGAUUAAAGUCGUAUAAUCUGUGGAAGGGUAUAGUUAAGGCUGCUGGUUUUAGUGUUGAGGUGUGGACCGUAUCGAAGUUAGGCAAUGAUGAGCGUGAGUAUGGCUCUCGGUUAAUUUUGCCUAUUUUGUUUAAAUAUUGGAUUUUUAGUUGGGAAAUUAAUUUUACAUUUGGAAACAGAAACAGGACGUGAGGAGGCUCAAGCAGAAGAGACCUCGGAUCGACGUCAGGCUUAGGCCUAAAGUUGUGAGUGGACCUUUGUUUUAAUUUAAAAGCAUGCGAUGAAUUAUUUUGUUGAUCAUUUAUUUCUUCUGAUGAGACUUAUUGAUUUCUCGGUUAUUUGGCAAUUUUUCCUCCUUUGGAGAGUUCCCGAAAAUGAGAUUUUCGGUGGAUAUGUUUAUUGGAUGUUAUGAGUAUAGUAUUUAUAUAAAUGCUAGCUAGCCAUACGUGCUUGCUCCGUCAUAAUGAGGUAAAAUACCAUUAUGGCGUGACGUGAGUGUUAGACACAAGCGUCAUAGCCCUAUAUGAAAACUACUUUCUUUUCUGGUUUAUUUAGGUUUUCAUAUAGGGAGUCCACCUGUAUAUAUACACCGUCCUCUUUGGUCAUAAUGAGGAAAAAUUCCAUUAUGGCGCGACGUGAGCGUUAGACGCAAGCGUCGUAGCCUUGUAUGAAUUUCUAUUUUUUUCUAAUUUGUUCAUAGAAUUCAUACAAGGAGUCUGACGAGUGUAAAUACAUACACAUAUGUGUUUAUAUAUAGUUUAGCCUGAGAGGCUCCAUUUUAUUGAGUUUGGAGACUAGCCGGAGCUAGUCAUGUUUUGGCCAAUGUGUGAGUAGAAAGCUUUGAGCUGUCGCAUGCAGCAUAAUUUCUAUGGAAAUUAAAUCGAGAAAGCAUAAAGAUUUAUUUCUUUUCAAAUUUAUUGUUGUCCACUCACUCUAACGUUUUCAAAUGUUUUCCCCUGGGCCUUUCGUUUUAAAAAUGCCCAGCUUGCAGGUUAGCUUAGUUGAGGUCGGGCGUACAUACAGAUGAGGCAUAAUGAUCAUAUAGCUUCCGCUUGUUAAUUUAUUAUGUUUCAUUUCUUCUUAUUAGAGUUGCUCUAAACCUAUAAAGGGUUGGAUAUGACAUUUGUUUAGAUUAGUAAUUAAUUUGGGUGGUGUUGUGAUUUGGGGAGCACGAAGGCUCCAGGAGUUUAAGGUUGGAUUUAAAUUUUCAGAAGUGUUUGCAGGUUUUAUUAGGAAGGGUUGUCCAUUUUCAAGGGAGGUUAUGUCGAAUUUUCGGUAAACUUUCUUUGGAGGUGGUGGUGGUCCCCGCAGAAUUUACUUCGGGUUUCGGGGUGAAAUUCGGGGUGGGUCCUGACACUCUAGUUGGGAACUCAUAUGUGUGGCAGCAUUCCUUUCAUUUGACCAAUGAUUGAUUGGGUUAUGAUUAAGAUGCUAGGGUGAGCAUCUCGUGCAAAUUUGUAGAAGGUGAAAAGUUUAAUUCAAGCCUUGGAUUUCACUAAUUAUAGUGGGCAAGUGUGAAGUUGUUGUAGUUCGAUAGAAAAUCUUGGCUUCGAGUUACGUGAUUUCUGAGAGAAAAUAUAGUUGGAAAGAAAAUUCGAAGUAGUGGUGUAUUCUUUUUAUGUUAAAGUUAAUUGAAGUGUUAUGGUGGGGUACCUAUAGUAACUCUUAGAGGUACAUUUAUGAGUUGUUGCGGACGCUAAGCUUGAGCGAUUUAGUCACGUGGGAAUUGUGGCUAGUGUUUGAGUUGCAAGG
rnacentral:lncRNA from 1 species